AGUGGAUGGGGAGCAACCUAGUUGUGCGUGUGUAAAGGUAGUGCCAAGAAAGGCGAUGAUCAUGUUGAAAAUCAAUUCCCGGUACCCGAAACCGACACAGGUGGGCAAGUAGAGAAUACUAAGGGGCGCGAGGUAACUCUCUCCAAGGAACUCGGCAAAAUGACCCCGUAACUUAGGGAGAAGGGGUGCCACCGAGAGGUGGUCGCAGUGAAGAGGCCCAGGCGACUGUUUAGCAAAAACAUAGGUCUCUGCAAACUCGAAAGAGGAGGUAUAGGGGCUGACGCCUGCCCAGUGCCGGAAGGUUAAAGAAGUUGGUCAGUUUUAGGAUGAAGCUAGCGACUGAAGCCCCGGUGAACGGCGGCCGUAACUAUAACGGUCCUAAGGUAGCGAAAUUCCUUGUCGGGUAAGUUCCGACCCGCACGAAAGGCGUAACGAUCUGGGCGCUGUCUCGGAGAGAGGCUCGGCGAAAUAGGAUUGUCUGUGAAGAUACGGACUACCUGCAUUUGGACAGAAAGACCCUAUGAAGCUUUACUAUAGCUUGGGAUUGUGUUCGGGCUUCCUGUGCGCAGGAUAGGUGGGAGGCGAAGAAGGUAUUCUUGUGGGGAUACUGGAGCCAACGGUGAGAUACCACUCUCAGGAGGCUAGAAUUCUAACUUAAUUAAGGACAGUUUCAGGUGGGUAGUUUGACUGGGGCGGUCGCCUCCAAAAAGGUAACGGAGGCGUACAAAGGUUCCCUCAGACUGGUUGGAAAUCAGUCGCAGAGUGCAAAGGCAGAAGGGAGCUUGACUGCGAGAAGUACAGUUCGAGCAGGGUGGAAACACGGUCUUAGUGAUCCGACGGUGCUGUGUGGAAGGGCCGUCGCUCAACGGAUAAAAGUUACUCUAGGAUAACAGGCUGAUCUCCCCCAAGAGUUCACAUCGACGGGGAGGUUUGGCACCUCGAUGUCGGCUCAUCGCAACCUGGGGCGGAAGUACGUCCCAAGGGUUGGGCUGUUCGCCCAUUAAAGCGGUACGUGAGCUGGGUUCAGAACGUCGUGAGACAGUUCGGUCCAUAUCCGAUGUAGGCGUGAGAAUAUUGAGAGGAGCCUUCCUUAGUACGAGAGGACCGGGAAGGACGCACCGCUGGUGUACCUGUUAUGAUGCCAAUUGUAAACGCAGGGUAGCCAAGUGCGGAGAGGAUAACCGCUGAAAGCAUCUAAGUGGGAUGCCCACCUUGAGAUGAGUAUUCUGGUGUAAGGUCACGGGAAGACGACCCGUAAAUAGGCACGAGGUGGAAGUGCAGAGAUGUAUGAAGCCGAAGUGUACUAAUAGACCGUCGGCUUGAUC
rnacentral:rRNA from 1 species